ensembl:lncRNA
UACAGUGGCACCAAAAGGUGCCGCAACUCCUCAGCAGCUGAGAUUUACACUGAUGGGUUUUAUUCCUGAGCCGCCUCCCUCCUCAUAAAGCUGCACUCUUCUGGUCUGUAAUAAUCUCACGGCUUGAAUGGUGACGUGGGCUCUCAGCAUCUCUUGUGAGGCCGUUUGUGAGCAUCACCAAAAAGCGGUGGUGGCAGCAAACGAGCUGCUGUUGCACAAAGCAGGGGUAGAUUUAAUAGGAAAACUUCACGGUCGCGGGGUCAGAUUGCCUAUUUCUUGUGUGCAUGUGUGUGAUUCGAUCAGCUCUGCCUGCUGCAUAGAGCCAGGUCUGCAGGAAAAGAAAGGCAAAAGGCCAGAACUGCUGGGAGCUGCAGGAGGUGCAGGGAGCGGGGCCAGGAAAGCUGAGCGUGUAAGGAAAGGUGGUCCUUAUGGCAGAGGAAGGCCUGCAGAGAUGCAAAUGAGGCCCUGAAACCAUUCCCACGUGGUGUUUUUCUGAAUUAAAAUGCGAAUAUUUUCUCCACAUAGCUGAAAAAUGAAGCCUGUGGUUCAUCGGGCACUUCUUUUUUUUAUUUUAUUUUAUUUUCCAUUGUUCUUCCUCCUCCGGCUAAAAGUAAUAAUCACAGAUGGGGUGAUGGGUGAUAGGUUGGUGCAGAUGGCUGCCAGCACCAGGAGCUGCAUGGGUGUCCUGCAGGAGCCGAUGGCAGCUCCAUGGGGGACAGCAGAGCGUGCCAGAGGGAGACCGCUGCCAGAACGUGCUCCUGAGUUUGCAGCCGUAUCCCCAAAUGCUCUGCCCAGGCAUCUCGCUGCUAUGAGAGGUAUUUAUUCAUCAUGGCUUUGGUUCAGCACAAAGACCAGCCCACCGCCGGUACCGGCUGCAGGAGGGCGGUUCUGAGCAGUGCCCAGCAGCACCAAAUCCUCUCCUCUCUCUGCGCAAUGAAGCGUUUCUACAUUGCAAGAAUAAGUGUUGAUUGUUUGUCACCCAUCAUCUGUCUGCUCGGCGUAAAACUACAGCCAGCAGUGUGGGCUCCCACUGCACACUGCCUCUCCCAUGGGAAUGGACUUUCACAAGCACUGUGCGUUCUGCUGCAGCAACGCUGUGCACCGCAGCCCAUGGGCAUGCUGUCAGUUUGCAGCACAUUUACUCCUCGAGCAAAGGUUUUUCCUUGGAAAGGCUUUUGCUUUCAGGACGGUGUCAGGGGGUGCUGUGCUGCUGGGACAGGGCUGGGCUGGCACUGCUUGGAUCAGCCCAUGCUUCCCAUCCUGCCCAUGGAGCUGUUUGUCAGCAGUGGUUCAUUCCAACAUUAUUAAACACGGAGGUUCAAUAUUUGCUUGCUUCCCUCCCCGUGCUGCAGAAGGCUGCGCUCAGUGCUCACUUCUCUCCCUUAGGAAAAAU